GACGAACGCUGGCGGCGCGCUUAACACAUGCAAGUCGAGCGAAGCGGCGGACGGGUGAGUAACACGUGAGUAACCUUCCUUAGACAUUGGGAUAGCCUCGGGAAACCGGGCUUAAUACCAAAUGGUCUAAGAUGGACUCGCGUCCCAUUAGCUAGUUGGUGGGUAACGGCCCACCAAGGCGACGAUGGGUAGCCGGACUGAGAGGGGGAACGGCCACAUUGGAACUGAGAAACGGUCAAAACUCUACGGGAGGCAGCAGUGGGGAAUAGUGCACAAUGGAGGGAACGCUGAUGCAGCGACGCCGGGUGAACGAAGAAGGCUUUCGAGUCGGAAAGUUCAUUUAUAUGGGAAGAGGUACCAUAAGAAAAAGCCACGGCUAACUACGUGCCAGCAGCCGCGGUAAUUC
rnacentral:rRNA from 1 species